CCUAGGGAGCUGCAGUGGGGAAUAUUGGACAAUGGGCGAAAGCCUGAUCCAGCCAUGCCGCGUGUGUGAAGAAGGCCUUCGGGUUGUAAAGCACUUUCAGUGGGGAAGAAAGCCUUGGGGCUAAUACCCUCGAGGAAGGACAUCACCCACAGAAGAAGCACCGGCUAACUCCGUGCCAGCAGCCGCGGUAAUACGGAGGGUGCGAGCGUUAAUCGGAAUUACUGGGCGUAAAGCGCGCGUAGGCGGUCUGAUAAGCCGGUUGUGAAAGCCCCGGGCUCAACCUGGGAACGGCAUCCGGAACUGUCAGGCUAGAGUGCAGGAGAGGAAGGUAGAAUUCCCGGUGUAGCGGUGAAAUGCGUAGAGAUCGGGAGGAAUACCAGUGGCGAAGGCGGCCUUCUGGACUGACACUGACGCUGAGGUGCGAAAGCGUGGGUAGCAAACAGGAUUAGAUACCCUAGUAGUC
rnacentral:rRNA from 1 species